UACGUAGGCGGAAGAUUAAGUCAGUGGUGAAAUCCUGCAGCUUAACUGUAGAACUGUCAUUGAUACUGGUUUUCUUGAAUUUAGUUGAGGUAGGCGGAAUGUGUAAUGUAGCGGUGAAAUGCUUAGAUAUUACACAGAACACCGAUUGCGAAGGCAGCUUACUAAACUAUGAUUGACGCUGAGGUACGAAAGCGCGGGGAGCGAACAGGAUUAGAUACCCUGGUAGUCC
rnacentral:rRNA from 1 species